GGGGGUAUAGCUCAGCUGGGAGAGCAGCAGACUGAAGUUGCCUUUGAAACAAAGAAACAAUUCUGAAGGUCCCGCGUUCGAUCCGCGGUACCCCCA